AAACACUGGAACUAUUAUCACAUGGACUCAAUACAGUAGAGGUGCUAGCUUGUCUAAGGAACAUGGGAGACUCCAGAGCUCAUUAUGAAGCCCUAAAGAAAGAGCUAGAUGAAGAUUCCGUCUCCCCCAGUUGAAGUGUACCUAUGAUAAAAAUUACAGACCUCUACAUGCUUUGUAAGUAGGAAAACCUGCAAAAUCGGCAGUAUAUCAAAUACUUGUUCUCCCCACUGUAUGUUUAUUUUACAGAUGCAGCAGCCAUUUUUAAAGUGGCAAAAGAAUGUCAACCUAAGGGCAAAAGUAAGCACAAACAUUUUUCCCUUUCCAAAGCCACAGAACCAAAAAUAUCUAAAAAUAAGUAUCCGUCCAAUGGCUUGGAAAGAAAAAACUAAAGUGACAUGGGGAAAAUACAUUAGAGUUGUUGCUGAGGAGGAGCCGUCCACAUUUUUACUGGACCCCGCUGAUGGCUAUAAUGUUGCCGUCGCCAAAGACAGGCUUUGGGCAGACUUUGACCUUCCAGGUGCAGCCUUCACACUCUGCCAUGACGAUGGGACACCAUGGCCAAGGAGGACUUUGAAAAAGAGCAAAUGACCCUAUCAGAAAUAAAGGAUGUCUGGAAGAAAACAUUCUUUGUUGGACAAAGAUCCAUGGGUAAUAUUUAGUUCAGUGCCAUGAUAAUUAUAAUUUUUGGGGAUAUUUAUUCUUGAUAUGCAUUAUUGGAUGUAAUUUGUUUUCAAACAGCAGGACACAGUAACCUGGCUGAGGAACGGGUAAGAUAACAUUAUAUAAGCCUCUUCAAUAUGUAUGACAAUGUUACUACUACCAAAAUUAAGUGGCACAUAUUGAAUGUGUUUGAAAAAGUUGUCUACAACUGUUGAUCAUUGGAAACUAACAUUGGCAAUAUAUACUGGUUGCUGUUGAUUGUGCCCCUUUGUUCUUAAUGUGUUUUACAAGUGUUUAAUUCCCUACUUUACACAUACUUAGUGAAACUUGACACUUUGAUCUUCACUGCCUACACAUUUUGCUUACAGAAAGUUUUCAGAAAUCAGUAGUCUUUCAGUUGUAAGAGGGGUUGUUUGGUUUUGAACAAUGUCAAUAUUAUGUGUUCUUGGUAUGGUAACCUGCUUUCAGUUUUUGUGUAUGUUGUGAAAAGGUGUAUUAAAGGAUGUUUUUUUUCAAUGUAUUAUAAGCCCGGGCCACCAGAAAAUUAUUCGAGUUCCCCAUCAGAGGAUUUCUUGGCAGGUGAAAAAGGACAACUACUGAUAAAGUUCUCAAUUACCUAAGUACAUUCAAAUGUCUUUACCAUAUUUAAAUAAUGACUCUUUUUACAGACACACAACAACCAAAUUAUCCGGUUGAGGUAAGAUUUAGCAUGGAGGUCUAUUUCUACCAGACAACAUUUUUCCAACUUGCUUUAUGCAAAAUACUAACAAUGCUAUCAUAUUAUCAAAGGGGGGAAAUAAUUUCGAUUAAAUAGGUACGAUUUCAUGUCAACAUACAGAAGAAUUUACAUUAUUUAUAGUCAAAUGUUGUUGUCAUACAUUAUUUUCUGUCAUUAUCAUUCUUAAAAGAUUUAGACAACUACUCUGAGGAUGCGGAGGUGGCCAGAGACAAGGUUGGAUAAUUAAGCAAUAAUCCUGAAAGAGGAGUAGUAUAUUGACAAAAUACCACAGCUAAUUGAUGUUGUUCGGCACAGCACAUUGUAUUUUGGCUAAUACUUCUUCCAAGGUACCUUUGUUGAAUUAAUAAUAAACAACAUACAUUAGAGUAAUCAAAAACUCAAUUUUAUAUAAUAGUAAAGAUAUACUCCAUUGAUGUUGCUUCAAUGACUAGGGUCUGGGUGAACAACAGGGGUUUGAAGAAACUUAGGUUUUAGCAUCACCUUCUUGUGAGUACAGUACUAAUAAUGAAAAGGAUGUAAUGGAAGAUGCAAAGACAAAGUGUUACAAAUUAUUCAGUUUACUAGUCAUCAUAUUCUUAUUCACAAAUGUAUGUUGUAUUUUGGGCCAAAAAUAUUUGAGUAGUUAAGGGGUGCUAUUAUGUUACAGUGUAUUAAAGUCUUAUUUUUUUGUCUUUAAGUUAUCUGUAUGUUCAAUAUUCAGCUAGACGAAGAGACAAAACAAGCUAUUGGUUUCCAGGUUUGCCUGGCUGUUAAUGGCAUCCAUUCCUAGAGCAUUAUACACCAGGACAUCAAACCAGGCAUCAUUAUUGUAAAUAUUGGUUAAAUAUUUGGAAUAUACCAUCAUUUUAACCUAGAAAUAAUUAUAUAGUAUUAAUAAUAGUAAUAUAUCAUUAUCAUAAUAUUAGGGUGAAAGGUCUGCAUCUGGGAAAUGGUUAUUUCUGUAGCUGGAGGAAAAAGGCAAGAGAGCUUUUUUAACUGAUUGGGGCAUGGCAAACAUUCACGACACAGUUUCCCUGAAAAUAGGCAGCCAGACCAUUGUUCCACCUGCUGGUCCUCUCGGGGGAACAAUCUACUAUCGUGCUGCUGAAUGUGAGCUACACUACAAUCCUGCAACGUGGCAUUCCGAUGUGUGGUCUGUUGGUGCUACCUUUGUAGAGCUUUUUACAGGUUCUUGGCCUUGGAAUUUAAGACAAUCUCGUGAAGUUAAAGCACUGCUUUCUUCCCGGACUGAGCCCCAUGCUUUAGCCUUGCUUUCCCCAACAUGGAAAGACACUAUAACCCAAUGCCUUAUGUAUGAACCAGAACAACGACCCACAGCAAGGACCCAGGCCAAGGUUUUCUGAUCUGGGCUUGACCUCCAAACACUAGGUUGUUAAAUAAUUUUUGGGGGAGUAAUGGACUUCUCAGGACUGUGCAGGCCACUGAAGCCAUAGGCUAUUUAAAUAAUGUUCCUGAAACCAUUUUCUUAUUAUGCUGGAAAUGCAGAUAUUGUAUCCCUGGUUUUGGGAAUUUUUUUAUAUUGUUGUUCAUAUCUAAUGUUAAGAAAAAUAUUGUUUGUUUGUUGGGGGAUUUACUUCAAUACUUUCUAAUAUAUUAAUACCUAAUUCCUUUGAUAUCCUGGCUGGGCAGGAUACAUUUUUUUUUUAACAAGAUUGGCUUUGAAAUGUUUUCAAUAAUCAACAUCCACUCUUCUUUUUUUUUGUUACAUAUAUACUGUAUGUAUACUGUGCUGGAGUGUCCACCUUUGUUCUUUUUAUCACCUGCUCAUAAAGUUCACCUGGGCAUGCACCCUUUUACAAUGGUUACUCUAUUUAAGUGACUAUUUGGUUAGUGCAUGUUUAAAGCAAACAUCUUUAUCUAUUAUGGGUUACAGUAGAGCCGAACAAAGAGCUUUUUCUGAAAACCAGGAGCAGCAAAACAUGUCUGCCUGCUGUGUAAACAAUUCAAAAAUGUUAUGAGGAAUGUAGUUGUAAGGAAUACGAGCCACAGGCAUGUAUAGAUCCAUGCACAGAGCAUGAAAUGGUUUUAUUGUAGACGACAAGACAAAAAAAA
ensembl:lncRNA